AAUUAUUUGUUUGCAAUCCGCCAUUAACCAAGAGAAGAAGAAGAAGAAAAAUUCACUUUACAAAAAUGGUAAAGCACAUCUCAGAGUGUCAGCUUCCCAGAAUUGUAGUAAUAUCAAAAUGCUUCAAAAGUUGUAGUAUCAGUAGUACUUCGGUGCUGUUGGUUGUGAGCAGACUGUGAGAGUGUGAGUAUUUACACAGUAUAAAUGGACAGAGAUUUUCCACUAAGAUCUGUCAGCAUGGAAUGAGUGAAAGUCUGUUUGGAUCACGUCCACCAAAGGAAGAUUCCAGAUUAAUGCUCUUGCCAAUAAUUUAAUUCAGACCACAUGUGCUGGACAGCAGAGAAAGGAAGCUUAUGAGUGAGAGGGAGAACAUAAGAAAGUCCGCUACUGCAUUUCUUGUCACCGUAGCCACCAGAUCCAGUCUGUAUCCAAGUCAGAGGGUCACUGCAGUCACCCGGAUCCAGUACGUAUCCAGACCAGAUGGUGGAUCAGCACCUAGAAAGGACCUCUACAGCCCUGAUAGACAGCGGAGACCAGGACAACUAGAGCCCCAGAGACAGAUCCCCUGUAAAGACCUUGUCUCAGACGACCACUGGGACAAGACCACAGGAAACAGAUGAUUCUUCUGCACAAUCUGACUUUGCUGCAGCCUGGAAUUGAACUGCUGGUUUCGUCUGGCCAGAGGAGAACUGGCCCCCAACUGAGCCUGGUUUCUCCCAAGGUUUUUUCUCCAUUCUGUCACCGAUGGAGUUUUGGUUUCUUGCCGCUGUCACCUCUGGCUUGCUUAGUUGGGGACACUUCAUUUACAGCAAUAUCAUUGACUUGAUUGCAAAUGAUUG
ensembl:lncRNA